rnacentral:rRNA from 1 species
GACGUAGGGUGCGAGCGUUGUCCGGAUUUAUUGGGCGUAAAGAGCUCGUAGGCGGCUCGUCGCGUCGUCCGUGAAAACCCGCGGCUUAACCGCGGGCUUGCGGUUGAUACGGGCGGGCUAGAGUUCGGUAGGGGAGACUGGAAUUCCUGGUGUAGCGGUGAAAUGCGCAGAUAUCAGGAGGAACACCGGUGGCGAAGGCGGCAUCCUGGACCGGCAUUGACGCUGAGGAGCGAAAGCCAGGGGAGCAAACGGG